rnacentral:rRNA from 1 species
AGCAUGCGGCUUAAUUUGACUCAACACGGGUAAACUUACCAGGUUAGAACUUAUUGAGGUAAGACAGAUCAUAGAUCUUUCUCAAAAUUAAAGGUAGUGGUUCAGAGCCGUUCUUAGUUCGUGGAAUGAUUUGUCUGGUUAAUUCCAAUAACGAACGUGACUCCAUCAAAUUAAAUAGAACGCUAUCAGCAGUCAGAUGUUUGAUACCGGCGGUUCGGGCAACGGUCGCUCGCGGCUCGUGGUUGACCUCUGCUUAAUAGGGCAAUUUGUGUUCAGCAAAAUGAGAUUGAGCGAUAACAGGUCCGUGAUGCCCUUAGAUGUUCUGGGCUGCACGCGCGCU